rnacentral:piRNA from 1 species
UGCAAAAUGUGGUGACUCCCCCCAAGUCUGU